UACAGAGGUCUCGAGCGUUAGGCGGAAUCACUGGGCUUAAAGCGUGUGUAGGCGGAUCGGUAAGUACCUUGUGAAAUCCCACGGCUUAACCGUGGAACUGCUUGGUAUACUGCCAGUCUUGAGCCAGCUAGGGGCUACCGGAACAAAUGGUGGAGCGGUGAAAUGCGUAGAUAUCGGGAGGAACACCGGUGGCGAAGGCGGCCUU
rnacentral:rRNA from 1 species